GACGAACGCUGGCGGCGUGCUUAACACAUGCAAGUCGAACGGAAAGGCCUGCUUUCCCUUGUGGAUUGCGGGUACUCGAGUGGCGAACGGGUGAGUAACACGUGAGUGAUCUGCCCCCAACUUGGGUAUAAGCCUGGGAAACUGGGUCUAAUUCCCGAUAGGACUGCAGGGUGGUGCCUGUGGUGGAAAACGAUUUUCUAGUGGUUGGGGAUGAGCUCGCGGCCUAUCAGCUUGUUGGUGGGGUAAUGGCCUACCAAGGCGGCGACGGGUAGCCGGCCUGGGAGGGCGGACGGCCCCAUUGGGGCUGAGAUCCGGCCCAGACUCCUACGGGAGGCAGCAGUGGGGAAUAUUGCACAAUGGGCGGAAGCCUGAUGCAGCGACGCCGCGUGGGGGAUGACGGCCUUCGGGUUGUAAACUCCUUUCGACCGCGAGGAAGCCACCUGGUUGGAAGGGUGGUGACGGUAGUGGUAGAAGAAGCACCGGCUAACUACGUG
rnacentral:rRNA from 1 species